AUUUCGUGAUAAGGGCACUUCCGUAAUAAUUAUUUGUACCUUUCCCAUGCCUUAUACAAGGACUCAUCAUCCAUAUGUUGAAAAUCAGUGAUCUGGUUCCUCAACUU
rnacentral:snoRNA from 1 species